rnacentral:lncRNA from 1 species
UUGACAGUUUGGCUUCCCUGUUCUGGGUGGCAAAGCCUGUGGAGUACUCACCUACCUGCUGCAUGAAGGCAGCAUGGAGGGACUGUGGUGGAUUAUCUGCAAAGAUGGCCAAAAUUCUCUCAUCCCUGCAGGCACAUACAAGAUGGUGCCUGGUGUUCGAAGGGAGAACUUGUGGGCAGAGCAGGAAGCGUGAGUAUGGUUGAAGGAUCAAAUAUUUGGUUCAGGCAUCAGGGAGCCAGCAAGACUAUGAUGCUGGGAAACACAAGUGAUGUACUGUUGGAUUUAAUCUACUUGGAAAAAACCUAGGAAAACCAAAAUGUCAUCAACUAACACCUGAAAUGCCUCAGCACCAUCUGUCUCCAACAUUAAACAAAACCCACGAGAUUCCAGGAGAAAGAAAAUAGGAAAUUUAAUGAUGAACUUAACCUGAGUAACUUGAUAAAUGUUACCUUUGUGGCUAGCCAUUCACCAGCAAGUCCCUAAAAUGACCUGAAACCUGAAGAGUGUUUCACCCAUGAAAGGGUUUGCUCUCUCUGGGCAUGGCUACCCAGCACAUAUGUUAGUCAACUUUCUUUCCCUUGCAGGGCCCCUUGGAAAACUAGUUUGAAUCAUUCAUUAACUCAGCUCCACUCCUUCCCUUUCCCAUGGACCAUAGUUUCUUUGAGCAAUUAAAACUUAUAAGACACCAAAA